rnacentral:lncRNA from 1 species
CCUCUUGAAACAUGCUUUCAAAAAAAUGUUCGGCAACGUUUUCCCCUCUAUAGAUUACUGGUGCUUUUUAAUAAUUCGCAUUUGUACAAAUAACCUGAUAUGCAUAACCGCAUGCUUCAAAUUUUGUGUGAUGAGUUGUUGAAGCAGUAUUUGGAUUGGGUGAGCAUGUAUCUAGUUUACAUGCCAAUGCCUCAAAAUCGGCAUAUAUAAC